GAAUGCCACGUGUUUGCUCUGAAGGAUAUUGCAAGGCACCGACGCAGCUCUGUAGCCCUAAAAAUCAAUUGGAUUUCUGUGCUAACAGAGGGGAAUAAUUGCUCAUUGCCCAGCACUGUCAGCAGGAAAAAAAGAGUGGCAGAAUUAUUGACUGGCCUCAACUUGUAGAGGCAGGGCUGACAAGUGGCGGUACUCACAUCAGCUUCGUAAGAAGACUGAGCUGUGUGUCAGGACUAAUAUCAUGUCUCACUUUACCCCAUUUAAUUCCCCUUCAUGCUCUGACCCUUUUCUUUUGUUUAACUUCAUAGGAAGAAGAGAGGAACUAUGGAAGCUUUAGCCUGGAAAAACAUGAAAGAAAAAUGGUAAUAUGGGUACCCCCCUCCCUCCUGCCUCGGUCUCAUCAGUUUUAGUUAAACUCUUCCUAGGCAGCCUUUAGAAUGUAAAACCUGGUGCCUUCCUUCUCACUCUGAUGAGUAAGGGUUGAAACUGGUUAAUUCAUGGUAGUGUGCCACCCACCCACACUGAGGUAAGAGCAGCAGCUACAGUGGGCUGGCAGCUGCUGCAGCUCAUGCUUACUUGGAGUUGAUCAGUUUGGAUUCCUGGGAAAUGAGGCUUCUGUAGCAUUGCUUUCCUCCCCACGGCUGCCCGCGUGCGUUUGUUUGCAGGCAGCUACACAGUGGAUUGGAGACUCCUCUUCGUUGGGAAUCUGGCCGGAAUUGGAAAGGACCCAGAUGUGAAUGUCCAAAUGUUUCAGAGCAACCCAUUGCUGCUGCUCCCCGCUGCGCUCAACGGCAGCUGCCAGAUGAGGUUGUGGCCAAGGAGGGGUGUUGGCAGGCAGGAGAGGCUACUCCAUGCUUACUUCCAGCCUGUGCAUCAAAGUUGCUUCUUCCUCCAUUUCCAGGACAGUCUGGGAUCCCUACAUGCUGCUGCCCUUCCUCCCCAGCCUAUUGGAUAAGCAGCAGCAGGAUCUGACCUCUCCUGUACACUGGAGUGCUCUGUUCUAAGGCUGAAGUCAGUGUGGAUUUAUAGAAAAUUAUGGAUUUUCUCUACUGAAAGCUAAGGAAUUCCAGCCAGGCCCCUGUUCCUUCCUGUGCUGUGAGGGUUGUGCCAACAACUGUGAGGUGCUGUGGUUUGAUAGCGGUAGCUCUAGAUGACUUGAACACUUCUGCCUGUGAUGGGUCAUACACAGAUCACCAAACCCUGCAGCAGCAGAAGGGACUUCCCUGACAGAGCCCUCCAAGAACACUGUGCAAGAUAAGACAGAGUGCUUUCCUGGUGCUCACAAUACAGCUGCUCUCUGGGUUGAAAGUAUUGCUGAUUAACGAAGGUUUUGUUGGACAUAGUCCAUUUGAGUGUGUAAAGUGCUUUUUCUUGCGCUGUGUGAUGUUUUUGUUCAUUUUGCAGUGUUUCUUUUUUA